GCGCGGGUAGCUCAGUGGUAGAGCUUUCGAUUGCAGCUCGAAGGGUCACUGGUUCGAACACCGGUCUCGCGCU
rnacentral:tRNA from 1 species